rnacentral:lncRNA from 1 species
CUAUACCUCAGUGGAAUCCUAGACCAACGUUUCCUGUUUCGGCUAAAAGGCUGACCUUGCUCGGGCAGCAGCUGUUUGUUAUCGUGUGUGCAUUUUCCAAACGUGCUACAAAAGACCCCCACUGUGCUAGAAGCCAGACUCAACUGCCCCUGACAUCCAGGCCACUCUGUAUCUCUGGUUUCAGGCCGACUGGAUUUCAUCAGCAUGGACCGCUGCUUCCCCAGGCAGUCAGAGAUGACAUUCCUUCAAGGCAAGUCCCCAGGAAGGGCUGCUCUGCUGAGCUGCAACGUCGUUUGCAUGACUUCCCAAUGCUGUAGUAAAUCUGAAGUUCAUCGUAUUCUGGCCAAGGAAAGACUCCAGUGGAAUGUAAUCAACCCCCCGAGAUCCAAACUGUAAUCAGUUCAGAAGCCUAAAGAUGCAAGGGGGAGAAAAGACAGGCCAAGAGGAGUCAUUGAGCCAAAUGAACACAAGUACACAUCUCUAUUCAACAGAAAGAAAAUGGUACAAGCUCUACUGACUGGAAAGAAAUGAGCAAAGAAGGCAACAGUAUAGAUCUUUUUUUCCCCAACAGAAAUGCCAGAUUGCCUUUAUUUAAUUUAGGAAUAAAUGUGGGUGCCCCAGUAGUUCCAAUAUGCCCUGAACGUCUGGAAGUUUCUUGGAUAGCAGCUGUUCCAUAGUUCAUGAUGGAUGAUUAGAAACAUUGGUCUGGCUGUCAACUAGGGCAGCAGCAGCAGCAGCAUCCCUGAGGUAAAUCAACUCCUGGCAAGAGGAAGGCCAUGGAGAAAAGGUUCCAGAUCCCUGAAAACUUUAGCUUUAUUGUGGACACCUAAAGACAGCCCACAGCUUGAAUCACGGAGCAUAAAACUUUCAGUGAAGACUAAGAAUUUCUGUUGAAAAAUUUUGCUCAAGAAUUAAAAUAAAAGCUCUACCACACUUU